rnacentral:lncRNA from 1 species
UAGGUAGACUGGAAGCUCCAUACAUGCUUAAGGUAAUAACCGGUGUUAGGCGUGAGCCACCGCGCCUGGCCUGCUUCCAGUCUUUCUUGUCCUUGGGAAGAGCAGUUCUCCCACUCCUUAUCUUCAGAGGCUUCCCUUCACACUUCGUAAGACUUGGGGGAUGCUGCAUGUUCUGCCUGAUUUCUCUUCCUCCUCCUGUCCCUCUCUGUCCCAUGCUCCCUGCACUUCUGCCACAGCCGCCACCUUGCUGCUGUUCCUUCUUGCCUCAGGGCCUGGCACUUACUGUCCCUUUCACCUGGGAUGCUCUUCUCUUGGCUUUUCAUGGCUUGGCUCCUUCUUGGUCUUCAGAUCUCAGUGAAUGUCCCCCCUCAGUGAGGCUUCACUGAAAUUAACACUUACCAUCAAAGGUGCUGGGGAUCUCUGGGGACAAACACUGGUGCAGGGAGACUUAGCUGCCUUCACCAUAAAGCUUACAGGCCCACUU